UGGUGCAAAAGUAAUUGCGGUUUUUGCCAUGAAAAGUAAUGCAAAAACUGCAACUACUUUUGCACCAA
rnacentral:miRNA from 1 species